AACGUCAGAAGAUCUGGCUGAAGGUGCGUACUUCCUUCGAAUGCGUCGAAUCUCGAUCUCAAAAGAAGCCUUCAUUUGAGUAUUCUUGAGGACAAGCUAAUCAACAAUCUUCUUCUAAGAAACGGAAGGCUGAGGCAUGCUAGAAGAUGAAACCUCCGACUCUCUCUGUCUCUUUGUCACUCGGUCUUCAAGUGGCUCAACAAGUGCAUCUUUGUCCUUAGACUCCAACUGCAACUCCUCAUGCUUCUUGUUCAAAUCACGAAAAC
rnacentral:lncRNA from 1 species